rnacentral:rRNA from 1 species
GACAGAGGGUGCAAACGUUGUUCGGAAUUACUGGGCGUAAAGCGCGUGUAGGCGGCUUAGCAAGUCGGGUGUGAAAGCCCUUGGCUCAACUGAGGAAGUGCACUCGAAGCUGCUGAACUUGAGUCCCGGAGAGGAUGGUGGAAUUCUCGGUGUAGAGGUGAAAUUCGUAGAUAUCGAGAGGAACACCGGUGGCGGAGGCGGCCAUCUGGACGGUGACUGACGCUGAGACGCGAAAGCGUGGGGAGCAAACAGG